rnacentral:misc_RNA from 1 species
GAUGAAGAACGCAGCAAAAUGCGAUAAGUAAUGUGAAUUGCAGAAUUCAGUGAAUCAUCGAAUCUUUGAACGCACAUUGCGCCCGCUGGUAUUCCGGCGGGCAUGCCUGUUCGAGCGUCAUUUCAACCCUCAAGCCCCCGGGUUUGGUGUUGGGGAUCGGCUCUGCCCUUCUGGGCGGUGCCGCCCCCGAAAUACAUUGGCGGUCUCGCUGCAGCCUCCAUUGCGUAGUAGCUAACACCUCGCAACUGGAACGCGGCGCGGCCAUGCCGUAAAACCCCAACCUCUGAAUGUUGACCUCGGAUCAGGUAGGAAUACCCGCUGAACUUAAGCAUAUCAAUAAGCGGAGGA